UCGAACGAGUUCUCGUUGAUGAUCGGUGCUUGCACCGAGAUUCAACAUGGAACGAGUGGCGGACGGGUGAGUAACACGUGGGUAACCUGCCCUUAAGUGGGGGAUAACAUUUGGAAACAGAUGCUAAUACCGCAUAGAUCCAAGAACCGCAUGGUUCUUGGCUGAAAGAUGGCGUAAGCUAUCGCUUUUGGAUGGACCCGCGGCGUAUUAGCUAGUUGGUGAGGUAAUGGCUCACCAAGGCGAUGAUACGUAGCCGAACUGAGAGGUUGAUCGGCCACAUUGGGACUGAGACACGGCCCAAACUCCUACGGGAGGCAGCAGUAGGGAAUCUUCCACAAUGGACGCAAGUCUGAUGGAGCAACGCCGCGUGAGUGAAGAAGGCUUUCGGGUCGUAAAACUCUGUUGUUGGAGAAGAAUGGUCGGCAGAGUAACUGUUGUCGGCGUGACGGUAUCCAACCAGAAAGCCACGGCUAACUACGUGCCAGCAGCCGCGGUAAUACGUAGGUGGCAAGCGUUAUCCGGAUUUAUUGGGCGUAAAGCGAGCGCAGGCGGUUUUUUAAGUCUGAUGUGAAAGCCCUCGGCUUAACCGAGGAAGCGCAUCGGAAACUGGGAAACUUGAGUGCAGAAGAGGACAGUGGAACUCCAUGUGUAGCGGUGAAAUGCGUAGAUAUAUGGAAGAACACCAGUGGCGAAGGCGGCUGUCUGGUCUGUAACUGACGCUGAGGCUCGAAAGCAUGGGUAGCGAACAGGAUUAGAUACCCUGGUAGUCCAUGCCGUAAACGAUGAAUGCUAGG
rnacentral:rRNA from 1 species